rnacentral:rRNA from 1 species
GUGAAAGCCCGGGGCUCAACCUCGGAACCGCAUUUGAAACUGGCAGGCUAGAGUCUUGUAGAGGGGGGUAGAAUUUCAGGUGUAGCGGUGAAAUGCGUAGAGAUCUGAAGGAAUACCAGUGGCGAAGGCGGCCCCCUGGACAAAGACUGACGCUCAGAUGCGAAAGCGUGGGUAGCAAACAGGAUUAGAUACCCUGGUAGUCCACGCCGUAAACGCUGUCUACUUGGAGGUUGAGGUUUAAGACUUUGGCUUUCGGCGCUAACGCAUUAAGUAGACCGCCUGGGGAGUACGGCCGCAAGGUUAAAACUCAAAUGAAUUGACGGGGGCCCGCACAAGCGGUGGAGCAUGUGGUUUAAUUCGAUGCAACGCGAAGAACCUUACCUACUCUUGACAUCCAGUGAACUUUCCAGAGAUGGAUUGGUGCCUUCGGGAACACUGAGACAGGUGCUGCAUGGCUGUCGUCAGCUCGUGUUGUGAAAUGUUGGGUUAAGUCCCGCAACGAGCGCAACCCUUAUCCUUGUUUGCCAGCACGUAAUGGUGGGAACUCCAGGGAGACUGCCGGUGAUAAACCGGAGGAAGGUGGGGACGACGUCAAGUCAUCAUGGCCCUUACGAGUAGGGCUACACACGUGCUACAAUGGCAGAUACAGAGGGCAGCGAAGCUGCGAAGUGGAGCGAAUCCCUUAAAGUUUGUCGUAGUCCGGAUUGGAGUCUGCAACUCGACUCCAUGAAGUCGGAAUCG